AUUGAACCCUGGCGGCAGGCCUAACACAUGCAAGUCGAGCGGAUGAAGGGAGCUUGCUCCUGGAUUCAGCGGCGGACGGGUGAGUAAUGCCUAGGAAUCUGCCUGGUAGUGGGGGAUAACGUCCGGAAACGGGCGCUAAUACCGCAUACGUCCUGAGGGAGAAAGUGGGGGAUCUUCGGACCUCACGCUAUCAGAUGAGCCUAGGUCGGAUUAGCUAGUUGGUGGGGUAAAGGCCUACCAAGGCGACGAUCCGUAACUGGUCUGAGAGGAUGAUCAGUCACACUGGAACUGAGACACGGUCCAGACUCCUACGGGAGGCAGCAGUGGGGAAUAUUGGGCAAUGGGCGAAAGCCUGAUCCAGCCAUGCCGCGUGUGUGAAGAAGGUCUUCGGAUUGUAAAGCACUUUAAGUUGGGAGGAAGGGCAGUAAGUUAAUACCUUGCUGUUUUGACGUUACCAACAGAAUAAGCACCGGCUAACUUCGUG
rnacentral:rRNA from 1 species